GACGAACGCUGGCGGCGUGCUUAACACAUGCCAGUCGAACGCUGAAGCUCAGCUUUUGUUGGGUGGAUGAGUGGCGAACGGGUGAGUAACACGUGAGUAACCUGCCCCCUUCUUUGGGAUAACGCCCGGAAACGGGUGCUAAUACUGGAUAUUCACUGGUCUUCGCAUGGGGGUUGGUGGAAAGGGUUUUUCUGGUGGGGGAUGGGCUCGCGGCCUAUCAGCUUGUUGGUGGGGUGAUGGCCUACCAAGGCUUUGACGGGUAGCCGGCCUGAGAGGGUGACCGGUCAGAUUGGGACUGAGAUACGGCCCAGACUCCUACGGGGGGCAGCAGUGGGGAAGAUUGCGCAAUGGGCGCAAGCCUGAUGCAGCGACGCCGCGUGAGGGAUGGAGGCCUUCGGGUUGUGAACCUCUUUCGCUAAUGGUCAAGCCGCAACAAUGGUUGUGGUGAGGGUAGUGGGUAAAGAAGCGCCGGCUAACUACGUG
rnacentral:rRNA from 1 species